AGUGAACGCUGGCGGCAGGCCUAACACAUGCAAGUCGAGCGGCAGCGCGGGGGCAGCCCUGGCGGCGAGCGGCGGACGGGUGAGGAAUUCGUCGGAAUCUGCCUUUUUGUGGGGGAUAACGUAGGGAAACUUACGCUAAUACCGCAUACGUCCUACGGGAGAAAGUGGGGGACCGCAAGGCCUCACGCAGAAAGAUGAGCCGACGACCGAUUAGCUAGUUGGUGGGGUAAAGGCCCACCAAGGCGACGAUCGGUAGCUGGUCUGAGAGGAUGAUCAGCCACACUGGGACUGAGACACGGCCCAGACUCCUACGGGAGGCAGCAGUGGGGAAUAUUGGACAAUGGGCGCAAGCCUGAUCCAGCCAUGCCGCGUGUGUGAAGAAGGCCUUCGGGUUGUAAAGCACUUUUGUCCGGAAAGAAAUCCCUGGAGCUAAUACCUUCGGGGGAUGACGGUACCGGAAGAAUAAGCACCGGCUAACUUCGUG
rnacentral:rRNA from 1 species